rnacentral:hammerhead_ribozyme from 1 species
AUCCGGCUGACGAGUCCCAAAUAGGAGGAAACGCGC